GACGAACGCUGGCGGCGUGCUUAACACAUGCAAGUCGAACGGAAAGCCCCGGCUUUGGGGGGUGCCCCGGUGGCGAAAGGGUGAGUAAAACGGGAAUUAACUGCCCCUUGCCUUGGGGUUAAUUCCAGGAAACGGGGGUAAUUCCGGGUAAGGACCUCCGCCUGCAGGGGGGGGGUGGAAAAGUUUCGGCGGUUGGGGAUGGACUCGCGGCUUAUCAGCUUGUUGGUGGGGUAGUGGCUUACCAAGGCUUUGACGGGUAGCCGGCCUGAGAGGGUGACCGGCCACAUUGGGACUGAGAUACGGCCCAGACUCCUACGGGAGGCAGCAGUGGGGAAUAUUGCACAAUGGGCGGAAGCCUGAUGCAGCAACGCCGCGUGCGGGAUGACGGCCUUCGGGUUGUAAACCGCUUUCGCCUGUGACGAAGCGUGAGUGACGGUAAUGGGUAAAGAAGCACCGGCUAACUACGUG
rnacentral:rRNA from 1 species